GGGUUUUUCUUAAAGGUAAAAAACCAGACUGUGAAAAUGUUACUGCGACUAGCAUGGGAGAAGCUGAACCAAGUCUCCUGAUAAAUCCUGAAGACAUUGUCCCCAAAGAACCAGGAAGUCCAGAAGAGACUAUCCGGACAAUCCAGACACCAGGUGACAGAGUUUCUCACCGGAAUAACAACGUCUUCUGAGAUCAACGCUGUGGUUGGAGCUGUCCCCUCGAUGUGUUCCCACCUACGGUGUUCCAACCAUCCCAUCUGACAUCUCUGCUCCCGGAUUCGUCGAGUCAGUGACGUGAAUAACUACGGUGACGAAGGCAAUGCUUAGUCUCUGCUGCACCCCUCCAUCUUCUCCCAGAGAGACUUCUUCAAGACCAGGUCAAAGGAAGAGAUUUCAGAUAUAUUAACUAACAUUGGAGUCAAGCUUUCUGAAAAAGAGUUCGAAAAUGUGUGGAAUCUUGCUUCAAAAAAACACCAGCAAGGAGAAGUUUGUGUUGAAACUAUCAGGAAUGCUCUAGAUGACCUGCUGCAUGCAGACCUCUUCAAGUGUAAAACGGCCAUGUG
rnacentral:lncRNA from 1 species